GUGCAUUUGACUAGAGAAUAAUUAAUUAUCUAAUUUAAGCUUUAGUAAUUAAAAACAAAUGACACACCUUGGUAAUUCUAUUUUCAUUUGAUAUUCCAUAUAUUCUUCACUGAUCUCAUUCUGGCUGUAAGUCAGUAGAUCUCUCUAACGGGAAUCAUGGACCCAACCUCAUAGUUCGCUCGUUUAACACAAUUUAUUCCCGGUUGCUUCUCUCACAGCAGUCGGCUACAGUUUUCCAGGUACAGCCACACACAACAACAACAGCCCCCAGGUCCCUGCACACUCUUUUGAAUGGGGCAGGUGUGAUGAGCUGAUUGAGCUCCGAUGUGUCUCAUCCUCCCCUGCUGCCGUGCCCAAGCCACACCCUGCCACACCUCAGUAUCCACAAUACAUAAUGAGUGAUAGAAAGCAACUGAAGAAACAACAGGAACUGCAUCUGAGACACUAGAAAUUAUGGACUUAUUAAAUGGUUAAAUAAAUACUUCAGUGUGCCUUACUUUCUAUCACAGAACUGACCUUAACAGUUUUAUAUGUACGUGCGUGUGUGUGUGUGCGUGUGUUUUUACACUCCCUUGAAUGUUAAAGACUGGUCUUAAGAAAUGUUUCACACUCAGCCAGAAAGUAGGUCCAAGAGCCUGGGAGCUGCUGAUAUUGGAAAAAUAGAGAUGGACUGAAAUGGAAGAAGAUAAAUUAAAAAAAAAAAAAACACCUUCUAAGCAUCAGCGUUUUUCUCAUACAUGGAAAUACGGAUAAACAAAAAGCUGGAUCUUAGAAUAGUAUAGCCCAGAUGAAUCUUUGUCAUUAAACUACUAUAACAUACAUUCUGAGGAGAAAAAGGCUUUUAGGUUUACAUAGCAAUGAAAUAUUGUACAAAAUAAUGGUUGUUAAAUUCAUGGUUAAGCUUUAUGUAAAACUUUGUUCAUGAGCAAUGCUCACAAUAUUCUAAUUCACUGACACUGUUUGCAUAGAAUUCAUAUGCCAGUAAUUGGAUUUCCUAAUUGGUUAGCUGGUGAUAAAUUGAGUAAAAUUGAGGAAAUUAACACAUUUUAAACACCUGGGGGUACAAGGAGGUACAAGACAUUUGUAUUUGGAAGUAGUUUCCUGCUGCUGUAGUCUAAUUAGCUGCCAAGUGGGUGGUGUUUGCCAAGUAGGAGUCCUGGUAUUUAUGGGUGUUUCAUAGCAGAAUAUUAAAAGUCAAAACUAAUCUGUGACAGACAUCUACCCAUUUGGACUCGAUGCUUAUUCUGGU
ensembl:lncRNA